AAUAUCAAAGGUGAGCCAGUACAGGAUGGACCCGCGUCUGAUUAGCUAGUUGGUAAGGUAACGGCUUACCAAGGCGACGAUCAGUAGCCGACCUGAGAGGGUGAUCGGCCACAUUGGAACUGCGACACGGUCCAAACUCCUACGGGAGGCAGCAGUGGGGAAUAUUGCACAAUGGGCGAAAGCCUGAUGCAGCAACGCCGCGUGAGUGAUGAAGGCCUUCGGGUCGUAAAACUCUGUCCUCAAGGAAGAUAA
rnacentral:rRNA from 1 species